ACUAUCUCCGCAGCUGUGCGACCAACUGCAUCAACCGGUCGCCGAGCUUCCCGAACUUACGUGGAUCGCGUUACCGUAGCUUGUAAGAAGUUUAAUCAACCCGCUGACCUGGAAUCUUGCGAGAGAUCCUGCGCAAGUUUAGGUUUAAAUUGAAUGAAGGAAUAAC